UUAUAGCUUAUAAGGAGUCGAACCUGCCCAGUGAUAAGAAAUUUAACGGCCGCAGUACUCUGACUGUGCAAAGGUAGCAUAAUCAUUUGCCUUAUAAUUGAAGGCUAGUAUGAAUGGUUUGACGAAAACAGUUCUGUCUCUUUUUAAUUUUAUAAAAUUUGGUUUUUAGGUGAAGAAACCUAAAUAUUAUUGAAAGACAAGAAGACCCUAUCGAGCUUUAAAAUAUUUUAUUGAUAACUAAACUAACAAAAAUUUAUUUCAAUGAAAAAUUUUGGUUGGGGCGACUGAGGAACAAAUAAAACUUCCUUGUUUUAUAAAAGUAGAUUGACUUUGAUCCAUAAGUUUUGAUUAACAAAAUUAGUUACCGUAGGGAUAACAGCAUAAUCUUUUUUGAGAGCUCUUAUCGAAAAAAAGGUUUGUGACCUCGAUGUUGGACUAGGAUACCCAAAAGAUGCAGAAGUCUUUAAUGGUUGGUCUGUUCGACCA
rnacentral:rRNA from 1 species